GUGUGUGUCCUGUGGUGAAACAUUGGUCCCUGCCUUGUGCCGUGGGCGGUCUUGUUCUGAUUGGCUAAAACGUUAAGUAUCUGGCUGUGUGACUGAUCUUCUUUUCAUACUGGUAAAUAACUAGUACUGUACUGAGUCGCUGCUGUAUUGUAGGUUUCGCGGGAGAACAUACAAACUACACACAGUUGAAGGCAAAAACACUGAUGGGCUUUCAAAAAGUUUUAUGAGGAUAUGAGGUAGCACUUCUCCUUACAGUGACACCUGUUCCUACUGGAAAUCAUGUGUGUAUUUAAAGGGCCUGUACAUAUUUUAAAGCUGCUUAUUAAACCUAUUCUUUGGAUGUUGAGGCCUGACGUUAACCACGAAAACAGCCCGUGUCCCUUAUAAAAGCAUGCCUAUGGUGUUAAAAGAAUCAGAAAUCAAGGAAGAUUUUUCAGAAAUUAACAAUACAUGGCAGAGUGGACCACAGACAUGUUUGUCUUGUAAAGGGCUGCUGUAAGUCAAAGCUAGGGCUUGUGGUUUAAAGUCCAGUUGUUUAGUCCUUUCCCACAUUGCCUGCCAGGAACGGAAUUCUUAGACUCUCCAAUGAAUAUGUGUGAAAAUAAAGUACCGCUGAUCUGCUUCAGAAUGCAUCCCUUGGAGCUUGUGCUUCUUCUCAUUUUAUUAUUUUUGUGUCAACCAUGGGCCCUUGAGCUGUCUUGUGAUCCAAGUGUUGUGGAAUCAGAAGUUAACCAGACUGCUGAACUUAAAUGCCAAAUAAGAAACAUAAAAAUGAAAUAAUAAUGAUUGUAUGGACAAAGGAUGGUGCAGUCAUAGGAGAACGACAUAAAAAUUUCCGUCGAAGGCAGACAAGCACAGGAUUCCAAAUAUAAUUUUGUGGAGCAAAAGAAAAUCAGACAGUUUCUCUUGAGGUUAAAAAUGUUCAAACAUCAGACUCUGGAAAAUAUGAGUGCAUGAUCUUUACAGAUGAACAGCAUCGUAUAAAGGAAAUAAACCUGAAAGUGCAAGAAAGUGACCAACUUCAUGGCUCAAAUAGUUAUACAGACCUUACAGAACCAGUUCUUGGAAGUCGUAUACAUUGGAUUACCAUUCCAGUUUUCUGCUGUUUUACCGUUAUCACUGUUGCUGUAGUCUUGAAAGUCCGAGUAGUUGUAAAAAUAGUGAAUCAGAUCAGCUGCAUGUCUUUAAAAGUACUCGUAAAUGCACCUCUGACAGAAGACUGACAGAUGAUGAAUUGACACUCAGACAUCGGCAAGAAGCUGCUUUCAGUACUGACGUUGGAGCCAGUCUCAAGUCUGGUCAAGCAUGAGGGGAGUACAUGGAAAGAAAUUUAGAGAAGCAAUAAUGAAAAGGAAUGCAAAGCAUCAGACAACCAGCUUGACCCCAUUUGCAACUGUGUGCCAAUAUGCUUAUAUAAAAUAUUUCAAAACAGAACAACAAGCAGAAGAAGCUCUGGAAAAAUCUGAUCUGCUCUUCAGUUUAAAAUAUUUCAUUGGUGCCCUCAGAAAAAAUGAAAAUUGGCAGUUUUGGAAAUUUCUGGUAUGGCAGAAUAAAGGAAGCAACAAGCAAAUUAAACAUCGGGUUUCAUUAAGAUGAAGAAUGAAGAAGAUGAAUGACAUAAGCAUUAUUUCCCUCCAGUUAAGGAUUCUGAAUCUUAAAUAAAUUAAAAUUUAGGCAAAAGAUGGUGUGGCAUUAGCAGCAGGAUGUUGGUUACAGUCAAAAUAAGAAAGUGAAUGGAACAAACAUCUGCUGCCAGGGUGUCCCUGAAAUGCAGAACAAUAGAACAGGCACAUAGUGGAUGCAGACUUGACAUUUUAAUCAAAGAAAUACGUUACAAAAAAAAAAUUGUACUUGUUGUACUUCAUACAUACUGAUAGAGAAAUAAUUUUAAUCUCGCCUUUCUAUAACUGUAAAUAUACAACUAGCUUUUCCAAACAAAAAAAUCUUUAGCCUAUAAAUGUGGAGAAAAAUGGACAUAACACAACUAUGAAAUCUAUUUUAAAACUAAUAUCUUUAACAUGUUUACAGAGCUGAUUCUCAGCUUAAGAGUUUAUGUAAGGUUAAACUCUAAUUGCUUCUUCUAUAGUGGAAAGUCUGAAUUUGUGAACUUUAGAAAAACGUUUCCCAUGCUUCACUUAAAUGCAGAUUCAUAUUUUUCAAUUCUAAUUAAUACAUGAGACAGACAUUUACAGUGAAGUCUACAAUUAACUCGGUAUAACAUAAACUACAGAGCAUGCAGUAUUCAAUGCUUUAAACCAGAAAUUGAUUUCCCAUUUUACAUUAAAACAUUAUUGCUGACUACAUACAUAUUUUAUGCCUUUAUUUGUUUUUUAGUGGGUAUCUUGCACUUCCAAGCUCUUCCUGUUAUCUUCCACUGGUCCGUUGUUUUUGCACAGUUUACAUUGUAUAUUUAGUGCUGUUCUGCAAAGCAUCUUGUGAUGAUAAAAAUGUUAAAGACAAUAUGAAAUAAUGACUGUCUCAUCACAACAACAGUGAAGAAUUUGAACUUCUCCUCUCUGUGGAUAAUGGACACAGUAUAUCAUAAUGACAAAUUCUUUGCAACCAAAUGUGACUCUGAAAGUCUGGACUGAGAUUGACAAUAGCAAACGACUGGAGAUAUAACAGUGCUGAAAGAUGAUUAUUACAUUUAAAUACAAAACACAUCAUUAUCAGAAAAGUAAAAAUAAAAAAAUGUAUACAUUAAA